rnacentral:rRNA from 1 species
UGGGGAAUAUUGCACAAUGGGGGAAACCCUGAUGCAGCGACGCCGCGUGGAGGAAGAAGGUCUUCGGAUUGUAAACUCCUGUUGUUGAGGAAGAUAAUGACGGUACUCAACAAGGAAGUGACGGCUAACUACGUGCCAGCAGCCGCGGUAAAACGUAGGUCACAAGCGUUGUCCGGAAUUACUGGGUGUAAAGGGAGCGCAGGCGGGCGAUCAAGUUGGAAGUGAAAUCCAUGGGCUCAACCCAUGAACUGCUUUCAAAACUGAUUGUCUUGAGUAGUGCAGAGGUAGGCGGAAUUCCCGGUGUAGCGGUGGAAUGCGUAGAUAUCGGGAGGAACACCAGUGGCGAAGGCGGCCUACUGGGCACCAACUGACGCUGAGGCUCGAAAGUGUGGGUAGCAAACAGGAUUAGAUACCCUGGUAGUCCACACCGUAAACGAUGAUUACUAGGUGUUGGAGGAUUGACCCCUUCAGUGCCGCAGUUAACACAAUAAGUAAUCCACCUGGGGAGUACGACCGCAAGGUUGAAACUCAAAGGAAUUGACGGGGGCCCGCACAAGCAGUGGAGUAUGUGGUUUAAUUCGACGCAACGCGAAGAACCUUACCAAGUCUUGACAUCCUGCGACGAUGCUAGAAAUAGUGUUUUCCUUCGGGACGCAGAGACAGGUGGUGCAUGGUUGUCGUCAGCUCGUGUCGUGAGAUGUUGGGUUAAGUCCCGCAACGAGCGCAACCCUUAUGGUCAGUUACUACGCAAGAGGACUCUGGCCAGACUGCCGUUGACAAAACGGAGGAAGGUGGGGAUGACGUCAAAUCAUCAUGCCCUUUAUGACUUGGGCUACACACGUACUACAAUGGCGUUAAACAAAGAGAAGCAAGACCGCGAGGUGGAGCAAAACUCAGAAACAACGUCCCAGUUCGGACUGCAGGCUGCAACUCGCCUGCACGAAGUCGGAAUUGCUAGUAAUCGCAGAUCAGCAUGCUGCGGUGAAUACGUUCCC